GACUGAAAGAGCAAAAAUGUUGGGCCCGGUAUAAACAUAUAGGCCUGGUUUUACAGACAGGGCUUAGACUAAGCCAGGAUUAGGCCAUAGUUCAAUUAAGACAUCUGAGUAAUUUUUAUUAACAUGCCUUAGAAAAAAACAUUACUGGUGUGCAUCUUGAGACAAAGGCACUGAUAUAUUAUAAGAUCAGUCAGUGCAAGUUUCUUUCAGUUAAAACAGCUCAGAUUUACACUUUAGUCUGGGACUAGGCUUAAGCCUUGUCUGUGAAACCAGGGGAUAGGCUUCACGGACAUUUCUUAGCUUGAGCCAGGACUAUGUGUCACAGGUCGGGGGGGCCAAGCCGGACUGCACCCGCCCCUGAAACCCAGGAUCACCUCAGAGAGCGUACCAGAAGAACCAGACGGACGAAAAACGAAGCCAGACCUCGGACGCCGGGGAGGCGUGGAGUCGUCGGCAGUUCGUGCCUGUACGGGGCCGGCAAGAGCCAGGAUAGUCUGUCACCCGUCCCGGAAUGAGGGGGGGAUAUCCGGGGACAUCACAUGCAGCGUCCAGCCCAGAGGAUCCUGCAAUCUCUUUUCAUAGGGACAUCACAUGCAGCAUUCGUCCCAGGGGAUCCUACGAUCUGCACAGCAGAGUAAGCAAUCGACAGCAGGGACAUCACAUGCGGCGUUCAGCCCAGAGGAUCCUGCGAUCUGCACAGCAGAGGACAUCACAUGCGGCGUUCAGCCCAGAGGAUCCUGCGAUCUGCACAGCAGAGGACAUCACAUGCGGCGUUCAGCCCAGAGGAUCCUGCGAUCUGCGCAGCGGAGUAAGUAAUCAACAGGACAUCACAUGCGGCGUUCAGCCCAGAGGAUCCUGCGAUCUGCGCAGCGGAGUAAGUAAUCAACAGUAAGUAUGCGUUCUUGAAUAAGUAAUGGGGCUUACGGCUGGGAGAUGCUUCGGUUGUAACCAGGAAAAGAAAUGAUCC
ensembl:lncRNA